GGCCUCCCUUCUCGUCGUCCUUCCGUCAAUCCCUAGAUUCGUCGCCAACUCCCCCUUACCUGGCCAGGCGAGGAUCCCGCAGCGCACCCCAAGCUAUCGUACGACGCCCCGCUCGAGACAAAGCCAGAGAAGGACGGGCGGAGCCGCAACCUCCUCCUCUUGUCUCUGGAUGCCUGCACCGUGUGAGGCCCUCGAUCCAUUGACGAGGAUAUCGCUCAGCUCCCCUUUGUGGCCGGCCCGUGGGGAGGAGACCGCAAGCCGCGAGAUGGAGGCGGAAUCUGGCGGCAGCCCGCCAGCGGUGUUUCAUGGACGCCGGCGGUAAAUUCCUACCUUUAGGAUGGGAUCGCGUCGCCCUGCUGUGAUGGUGACGGGUGGGAUGACUUUUCAGGACAAAUUCAUCGAUCUGUCGACCUCCCCUGGUCGAUGGAUGCCGCUAGCUCCAGAUGAAGAUUGAGGAGGAGCUGAUUUGCUUGUUCAGGGACGAGUUAUUAGCAGACGUGAGCUAGCAUGGACAAGAAGCAAUAGCAUGGACGUGAUCAGGACACGUAUUUUUACACAGCUUGAUUCAUGAGUAGACUAUUGCUCCGCUGAUUAACGACCUGGGGAGGAGGUAAUUUAUUAUUCAUGUUUUCUACUUUCACUAUUUUGGCUGCUAGCAGCCUAGCACAUGACGGAUUCUGUUAGCAGCCUAGCACAUGACGGAUUCUGUUGUUUCAGUUCGGCUUGUUCAAAAUUUUCUUUGCAUAUUUGUUUUAUUAUUAUAAUUAUUAAUCUCAGGUUUGAUCUUCUUCUGAUGCUCUGUUGCUGCGAUUUUGGCAGAAAGAUCAGAAAAGGAAAAGUUAAACUGCUACACAUUAUCACUUGAGCAACAUUAUUUACCAGUAUUAUUUAGUUAACAAGGAAAUUAGCUGGUGAUCAAUCGUGAGAGGAAAUUGUAGGACGCCUAAGGUUUCGGCGCCGCCACACGACCGGCAUGGUCUCCCCCGGAGAAAAUCCUGCCGCCACCUUCCUCGCGCCUUGGUGGAGGGGAACGCGGUAGGGCGCCGCAAGGCAUCGGGGCAGAGGUGGAGGCGCUGCACGGAGGAGAUGGAGGUGCUACGACGUUAUUGAAGGAGGCGGCUACACAGUGGAGGCGAUGGAGAUGAGCAGCGGAGCAGCGGCCAUGGUGGCAGGAAAGACAUCAGCGUGAGCUCCUCAUUCCGAUUGCUGCCUCCCAUAAUUAAUUUAAUUCUAUUUCGCUUCUAGGGUUUGAUGUGAAGGAGAUUCCUAUGCCAAUGGUGUCAACGACCAGAAGUGAUGCUCUGCUGCAGCUUGGGUUUCCCACACAGUCUGAGCAAUUAUUUAUCGUGUGUUCACCUAUUAUCUACCGGGGAUAUGCAUAGAAACUUCAGAGUUUGGACUCUCAAGAUCAGGGUCCACUUCACAGCAUCGUAGCUGAUCAACCUUCUUAGGUUGGCCUUUGUCUCUAAAGGAGCGCGGCUAAGAAGAUCAUAUUCUUGCCAUUCAGAUUGGGGAUGUCCCCCUUUCACAAAAAUGCAUGUGUUUGUGUUUAGACAUGGCAACUCAAACAUUUUCUCAUCUUAUUACUGACGCACUAGGUGAAUGUGAGCAGUUCAUUGUUAGCCUCAUCACCUCUCUGUUUCAUGUUGUUGCAAAUUUAUAGCCUUCCUGAUUCAUAUGAAGAAACUAAAUUAAACUUCAUGGUAGAUACACGUCAAUCAUACAAGCAUGAGGACAUGGAAAUUAAAAGGCAAGGUGAUUAUGUGAUUUUUAUUGUGAUGCCAAAUCAUCUUCCUUGCCUGUUGGUAGCUGCUCCUAAGAGAAUAAGAUUUUUAAUUGUACCUCUUUAGAUGCAAGCAUCUUCUUAUCAGUGGAACUGCAAGGAUUUUUUUCAAAGUAAAUUGAAGUGAACUAGAUCUAUCAUUUGUACUUGAAUGCUAAUUGGAUAUGCAGGGACACUGGGUAGUAAAGUUUUCUAGGAGUGCAUAUGUAGAUUAAGCAGUCUGAUACUUUUCAGUGUAUUCUCACGGUUAUUCUUAGUGUAUAUUAUACAGCUUAAGUAGAGUCGCAUGAAGGUGAAGUGAGGCAACCAUGACAGGAAAGAUGAUUUUGAUGCACACAACCUAUUUAGUGAAAUACAGGUACUUGGGUUGUCCCUCCGUAAGUUCCUGUGCAAUUUAUUUAUCGUGCUGAUUGUGUGGAUUUUGGAGAGCGGCCAUAUGCAAGGGGGAGCUGUCAGGUGUUAAUUUGGAGAGUGGGUAUAUGCAUGGUAUCAUGUGAAUUACGUUGUUGGUUAUAUGGUUAGUUAUCUCAUACACCUACAGGCAAGUUCGUAUUUACUAUCUUAGAACCUUUGUAACAUUACAGAUUAUGAUAUCAUUUUAGUGGAAAUUUGCAUAUACUGGUUAGAGCCUUGGUCCAGAAGUAGAGGUUCUGAACUAAAUCAAAGGUCAUUAUGUUACAUCACUGCAUAGGGCACUUGGAUGGAGGAAACUUAGCUUACCGUGGACAGUCUAGACUGAAACCAUAUGUGUUUUUUUUAAAUACCCAUCCUUAAAAUUUCGUGUUUCGCAUACUUUUAUAGUGGUUUAGCACGACAACUUUGGAAAUGGCGGCGGGCGUGGUUCUUCUGUGACUGCCUCUGGACGGCAGGCUGGGUCGACAUCUCGUGGCUACGGGCAUGCCUGUCGCGGCUCUUGCCAGUCAGUUGUUCCUGGUAUUUCGUCUCCGCAUGGUGUGCCUUCUGCGUUCCUGUUGUCCCUUAGGUUUCCAAGUUGUUGGUUUAAAUUAUCACUUUUGAUAUCAGUAUGUUUUCUUUUAUUCCUUCACUAGGCAGUACAAUUGUCAUUUUGAUAUCGCCCCCCUGUCUAAAUGGUCCAUAAAUCCCCUUGAACUAAAUAGCACUUGCUAUGCAGGUAUGGUUAUUAUUUUAGACCCGUGUGUUGUGUUUUGCUAUGAUGGGUAAUGACAAAUUAGUGAAAUCAGAAUGCCCAGAUAAAGCCAUCUGCAGAACAAGUUUAUAAAUAGAUGUGCAUAUGCCAUGAGCAAAUCAGUAUAUGCAUCUUACAAUUCUAUUGAUGCCCAAAAGCAACAUAUUUUUUAGAAGGCAUCAUGGUGAUUUUCUUUAUAUGCAGACCAAGUUCAUAAUUUGACAAUGAGUUCUCAAACAACCUGAAAAAUUCAUGGAGUAUGCAUGGAGCCAAUAUGGUAUUUGAUUUGGUUUUAUUCUUAUCUUUUUUAAUGGCAGUACUACUUUUUCUUCUAUUUUAGUGGUGGUACUGAUUUCAUUUUAGCUAUUCGGAGCUAUUCGUCAAUAGUGGUCGUGCACCCCAAACCUGAUACUUACUUUGCAGACUCGCAACGUAUGUAUGAGUUUGUCAAAAAAGAAUAUGCAUGUUCAUGACCUGGUGUCUGUGUCAUUUGAAGCAUGGAUUGCUAAUGGAAAGAUCGAGGUGAUUCGGUGGAUCUACAUAAGGAGGAAGAUUCAUGGACGUGGUGGACCAAGGCAGGAUCUUGGGGAUGCUCGGCUAAAACAAGCUUGGAGGAGCCAAGCAAACACCGGUGCUAGCUUUGAGGAGGCCAUGUGUAAGGAUGACCACACCAUGCGCACUCCGCGGUGUUUCUAUGAAGAAUUGGGAACUGAUCAAUACAGUUAGUUAGUACAGACAAAUGAAAUUUUUGGUUUGCACGGAAUGAGCACUGAUUACCUCAAUGUAAUUGUAGAACCAACGUGAUGUUUGGUCAAUUCACUUCGGCGUCUACUCAAAACAGCUCCAUAUAUUCAGUGUUGGAGUAACCUGCAGGAAUUGACGGAUCUUUAACCAUGCUAGGUGCAAGGUACAAAUCGAGUGAAAUCAUAACAAGAGAAAAAAUGCACAUUAGGCAUCUGUAGGAUUUUUUGUGAACUUUUCUUGGCUGCAGUUUGUGUUCUCCAAAUUCUUAAAAGGUUCAGUUCGGCAUCUGUAGGAUUUAUGCGGUUGCAAUGCCGAUAUGUAAAAUAAACCUUUUGUAGCUUUUGGACUCCAUAAACUUAAGGAACGGCUCAUAGUAACUUAAUUUCGGCUCAUAGGAACGACUCCGUAAACCAC